AAUUUGGAAAUGCACGAUGGGGAUGCCACAGGUGAAAAAAUAUAUAAAUGUGAUGAGUGUGGGAAAACUUUCACCUGGAUCAGAGGCCUUCAGAUGCAUAGGAGGAUCCAUAAUGGAGAGGAGCCAUACCCAUGUACAGAAUGUGGAAAGGCCUUCAUCACACAUGCGGAACUUACCCAGCAUCAGGGGCUUCACAGCAAGAAAAAAACCCAUAAAUGUAAAGAGUGUGGGAAAAGCUUCAGUCAAAAGGCAGGACUCUUCCAACAUCUUAAAAUCCACACUGGAGAAAAGCCCCAUCAGUGUAGUAAAUGUGGCAGGUGUUUUAGUUGGAGAUCAGUUCUUAGGAAGCAUCAAAGUCUCCAUACUGGAGAGAAACCUUUUGAAUGUAUGGACUGUGGGAAAGCCUUCUGCCAUAGUUCACACCUCAUUGAACAUCAGCAAUUCCACAACAAAGAGAAACCUUAUGCAUGUAAUGAAUGUGGGAAAGCCUUCAGGCAGUGUUCACCUCUUACUGAAUAUCAACGAAUUCACAGCGAAGAAAAACCCUAUGAAUGUAAAGUAUGUGGAAAAGCCUUCACUCAGUAUGCCGGCCUUAACCAACACCAGAGAAUCCACACUGGAGAGAAACCUUUUCAAUGUCCCGUAUGUGGAUGAGCCUUUAGCUGGAGCUCAGAACUAAUAAUACAUCACAGAAUCCACUCAGGGGAAAAACCCUAUGAAUGUGCUGAGUGUGGAAAAACCUUUAAUGUGAUCUCAACCUUGAUCAUACGUCAGAGAAUUCACACUGGGGAGAAGCCCUAUAAAUGUGAUGAAUGUCUGAAGCCUUUAGUCAAUGUUCAGGCUUAAUAAACACAAGUUAGGAGGCAAGCAUGGAAACCCUCCUGAGCCAAGAAAAUAUAAAUGUGAUGAGUGUGUAAAGACCUUUACUCUGUCAACUGGCCUGAGGAAGCACAAAAGAAUCCACACUGGAGAUAAGACUUACCAAUGUCCUGAGUGUGGAAAGGCCCUCACAAGGAGACAGGAUCUUAUCGAACACCAGGGGAUUCAAAACAAGGUGAAGCUCUAUCAGUGUCAAGUGUGUGGCAAAGCCCUCAGUCAGAAGACAGGUCUUAGUUGCCAUCUCAGAAUCCCCCCAGGAGAGAAACCUUUUGAGUGUUCUGAAUGCGGGCCAGCUUUCUGCUGGAAGUCAGAUCUCAACAAACAUAAAAGGGUCCACUCUGAGGGAAAACUCUAUAAAUGUGAAGAGUGUGGGAAAGCCCAUAGGCAGAGAGCAACCCUGGAUCAACAUCAGAGAAGCCACAUUGUGCCAAGACCUGGGAGUGGGGUGAGUGGUGCAAAGCCUGCAGUGGAAGCUCAGCCCUGAUUAAUCCCCAGAGAAUCCAC
rnacentral:lncRNA from 1 species